GUGGGGAAUUUUGGACAAUGGGCGAAAGCCUGAUCCAGCAAUGCCGCGUGCAGGAUGAAGGCCCUCGGGUUGUAAACUGCUUUUGUACGGAACGAAAAGCCUGGGGCUAAUAUCCCCGGGUCAUGACGGUACCGUAAGAAUAAGCACCGGCUAACUACGUGCCAGCAGCCGCGGUAAUACGUAGGGUGCAAGCGUUAAUCGGAAUUACUGGGCGUAAAGCGUGUGCAGGCGGUUUUGUAAGACAGUGGUGAAAUCCCCGGGCUCAACCUGGGAACUGCCAUUGUGACUGCAAGGCUAGAGUGCGGCAGAGGGGGAUGGAAUUCCGAGUGUAGCAGUGAAAUGCGUAGAUAUGCGGAGGAACACCGAUGGCGAAGGCAAUCCCCUGGGCCUGCACUGACGCUCAUGCACGAAAGCGUGGGGAGCAAACAGGAUUAGAAACCCGUGUAGUCC
rnacentral:rRNA from 1 species